rnacentral:rRNA from 1 species
UGAGCAAUCUGCCCUUCUCUUCGGAAUAAGCGUUGGAAACGACGUCUAAUGCCGAAUACGACCUCCUUUCGCAUGAUCGGAGGUGGAAAGCUCCGGCGGAGAAGGAUGAGCUCGCGGCCUAUCAGCUAGUUGGUGUGGGUAAUGGCCCACCAAGGCGACGACGGGUAGCCGGCCUGAGAGGGUGACCCGGCCACAGUUGGGACUGAGACACGGCCCAGACCUCCGUACGGGGAGGNAGCG